AGAGUUUGAUCCUGGCUCAGAACGAACGCUGGCGGCACGCUUUAAGCAUGCAAGUCGUGGGGCAACAGUGUAGCAAUACAGCUGGCGACCGGCGCACGGGUGAGUAACACGUAAGGAUCUGCCUAUAGGUCACGAAUAGCUAAUGGAAACAUUUGGUAAUGCGUGAUGGUACCGAGAGGUUAAAGCUAAGCAAUUAGUGCCUAUAGAUGAACUUGCGGUUCAUUAGCUAGUUGGUGGGGUAAGAGCCUACCAAGGCGACGAUGGAUAGCCGGCCUGAGAGGGUGAACGGCCACAAUGGAACUGAGACACGGUCCAUACUCCUACGGGAGGCAGCAGCUAGGAAUCUUCCGCAAUGGGCGCGAGCCUGACGGAGCGAUGCCGCGUGAACGAAGAAGGCAGAAAUGUUGUAAAGUUCUUUUAUAAGGGAAGAAUAAUGGUGCAGGCAAUGGCAUACAGAUGACGGUACCUUAUGAAUAAGCUUCGGCUAACUACGUGCCAGCAGCCGCGGUAAUACGUAGGAAGCGAGCGUUGUUCGGAAUUAUUGGGCGUAAAGGGCAUGUAGGCUGUUGAAUAAGUGUGGAUUUAAAGGCCGGGGCUUAACCCCGAGUUUGGUUUGCAAACUGUUCAACUAGAGUUCAGAAGGGGAGAUUGGAAUUCCGCGUGUAGGGGUGAAAUCUGUAGAUAUGCGGAAGAAUACCGGUGGCGAAGGCGAAUCUCUGGUCUGCGACAGACGCUGAAAUGCGAAAGUGUGGGUAUCAAACAGGAUUAGAUACCCUGGUAGUCCACACAGUAAACGUUGUACACUAGGUGUUAGAGAAGUUAUUUUCCAGUGCCGAAGCAAACGCGUUAAGUGUACCGCCUGGGGAGUAUGCCCGCAAGGGUGAAACUCAAAGGAAUUGACGGGGGCCCGCACAA
rnacentral:rRNA from 1 species